GACAGCACGCAUCCUUGUCGCACCCCCCUUUUGAUCUAUAUGUUGUCGGACAUAUUGUUGUCUAGUUUUAUUUGAGAUGUUUGAUUCCAGUAUGGGGUUUCAAUGCAUCAGAUGUCUUUCUGAUCUAUAUCGAGCCUUUUGAGGAUCUGCAUUAGUUUGUGGUGCUAUGAAACAGGCAAACGUCAUUUCCUUAGUUAUAGCAGUCCUGGGCAAACACUUGUGUUGCGACUAUUGCCUCUCUUGUGUCAUUUUACAUCAACAGUGAUAAAAUGUAUCGUAAUAGAAGUUUCAGACAAAGGAGAUUGAACCUUAUAUAUUUCUUAAUGGUAAUGGAUACAUGAAUCAACUGCUAGAUUAUCUCUGAGCAUCAUAACAUAAUAUUACAUAUACUUGAUUGCAAGCAAUUUUACAAGUAAUAUUAAAACUGAAAUAAUUACUGACAGCAAGUAAUUGAGCCAAUACAUAUCCUAAAACAAAUGAGUAUAUGAAAAAAUGGUUAUACAGCUUUUUAUAUAUAUAUAUAUAUAUUCACCUGCUAUGGCUCGACAUAAAAAUUUGAAAUCCAUAGAAAUGUUGGCUUGCUUGGUAAGACCUAUUGCAUUGAGCAAUCCUCUCCCCCAUUUACUAGGACCCUUUUCGUCUGAGAACUGUAAAAGGAUUUGUGAAAAUUUGUAUAAAACUGCACCGCAAUACGGCUCAUCUAUUUCGGCGUGUUGUAAGACUAGCAUAAGAAAUCCACACCAUAUCAGCGGCAUCUUUGGUUCUGUUCCUUCACUGGAAUAUACUGACUAAAAAAGACUAUUUAAAUGUAUUCACUAUCUUACCUAAUUUUAACAUUUAUUAUCCAGUCUAAGCACAUAUUCAAUAAAAUUUCAGUGUUGUUAUGUUUGGAAAUCAGCUGCACGAAAAUUGCAUUUAAAGCUAAUAUGCAGCCCUUAUUCACGGCUAAUUGUUGUAAUUCUUUUUGUUUGGGUGCUAAUAUAUUCAAAAGCUCUCCGAUUUCCCGCCAGGUUGGUUGAAAAUCAUCAGAAACUGCAAAUGAAAAUUAAAUUUAAGUUUAUUAAGAUGAAACUUUUCAUAGAUAUCAUCCCAACUUAAAUAACAGUUUGUACUAAUGUUUGCUUCAAAUCGAAAGACAAAUGUAUAAUAGAAGAGACAUAAAUUUACAGUAUUUAUUACAUCCAGGAUAUCUUCAUUAUGAAAUAAUGAAUGAGCAAGGAACAAGACUUGGAGCUGUAGUAUAAUAGUUUUUAUUUCAGAAGAUUUUCAAGAGGUGCAGAUUUUUAUGAUCGUUUGAUAUUAUUCGCGUGAAUUAGUAAAAGUUGAAUGAAUCUAUUAAGAACAGAAAACCGUGACAAUCUACAGUGCCCCAAUUUGAUAAACGGUAGUUUGUUAGUAAAGCUACUUCGAUGUAGAUGUACUAUAGAUAAGCAACUGAAUUAAUUAUCAUAUGACAGAUUGGCUCUUUGUGGCUAUUGUAUUUUGGAAGUACUUGAAUGAGAUUUUUAAUCUUUCUCUACACACAAUAGUGUCUUAGGACCUUAUCAAAUAACUACAUUCAAAACAAAGAUUUCUGAUACAAAAUGACCAAAUUGUAUAAAUUUAGCAUAAUUUUCUUACAUAACCAUAUAUAUAGUUGUAUUAUGGGAUGUUGGUCGGGUUUAUAAUUUUAGAAACAAUUUUCCUACAUUUAAUUUAUAAGUAAUUUAUUUUGUUAGAAUAUGAUUAAGUUUUUAGUCCAUAUUUUUUAUGACAUAAAAAAUCGAUAACUCCCGACUCCAAAAACGAAAACCAUGUACAAGAACUAGACUAUUUAAUUGAAGAGUAAUCGAAUACUGAAGAACCCUUCAUCCAAUAGAAUAAAGCUAUAAAUUUAAACAUCUAAAAAGAAGAACCAAUAUUAAUCAGGAAACGAGUUGUGCGGAGACCAUAGUUCAAAUUAUGGUGUGAAUUGUGCUGAAUAAUUGAAUGAAAAAUUUUUGUUGGUAUUUUCAACUGACAGUACAUUUUUAUUUAUAUAAGUGAGGUCUUUGUGCCAAAACUUAUACCAAAAUUAUUCUAAUAAUAAUAGGGAGAUCUAUUAGAGACUAGUGUGUAUUCUGCAGAACUAUUUAUGUGUGUGCAACGACGGUUGAAGAUAAGUGAAACAAAAGAAGAGGUACAACUGAAUGGCCAGCACAAUUUCAAGAUCUAUCUUACGGCAUAUUAGGAUUAUCUUAAAUUAUAGAAUGAAUUAGUUAUAAACGAAAUAAUUUUCAUGUUUUCUUUUAGUAUUGAGCUAAUUUUCAAUUUUAGUAUACAGUAUAGAGAUAAUUUUAGAGAACCUUUCAAUUUUGAUUAUAAGCCUAUCCUCAAUAAUCAGAAUAUUCAAUGAAAUAGACUAAACUGGAAGUAUUAACAUUUUGCUAUUUUACUAGAGCUAAAUAUUUGAGGGAAAAAAUUACUGUACCAUAACACUUACCAGUAUUCACAAAGUAGCUAUUAAUUGUAACUUCCAAAAGAUCUGCAAGUAUAUCUAAUUCCAUAACUGCAGUACCUAGAGUUGUCAGUAAACUCCUGAUAAUCAACCCAUUUCCAGGUUUAUUUUCAAUCCAUUUUAUGAAACUAUUCAAAACUAUCACUUUCACUUGAUCUAUAUUCGAGCAGCACAAUAGUUCUUUCAACAGCAACGACAUCUCUUGUUCUGUAGUUACCAUAUGUUCAAGAUCAUUGAGUUGUCGAUUUAUUAACAAAAAUAUAUCUUGUUCUUUGCGAGAAAUGUUAUUUUUGUUUCGAUUGGCGUAAACAGAGAGUAAUUUUACAUUGGUUUUAACAUAGAUCAGUCUUUUGUUUAAUGUUUCUGAUGACAUAGUCGAUUGUUGUCCAUUGCACAUAGAAACUAUCUUUAGAAAACUAAAAAAUUAUAAAGUUUCUUUAUUUAUUAUAUUAUAUUUAUUAUACAUCGAUUGACCAAUAAACCUCAUUAUUGAA